rnacentral:rRNA from 1 species
GAUGAACGCUGGCGGCGUGCCUAAUACAUGCAAGUCGAGCGAACAGACGAGGAGCUUGCUCCUCUGACGUUAGCGGCGGACGGGUGAGUAACACGUGGAUAACCUCCCUAUAAGACUGGGAUAACUUCGGGAAACCGGAGCUAAUACCGGAUAAUAUAUUGAACCGCAUGGUUCAAUAGUGAAAGACGGUUUUGCUGUCACUUAUAGAUGGAUCCGCGCCGCAUUAGCUAGUUGGUAAGGUAAAGGCUUACCAAGGCAACGAUGCGUAGCCGACCUGAGAGGGUGAUCGGCCACAUGGGAACUGAGACACGGUCCAGACUCCUACGGGAGGCAGCAGUAGGGAAUCUUCCGCAAUGGGCGAAAGCCUGACGGAGCAACGCCGCGUGAGUGAUGAAGGUCUUCGGAUCGUAAAACUCUGUUAUUAGGGAAGAACAAAUGUGUAAGUAACUAUGCACGUCUUGACGGUACCUAAUCAGAAAGCCACGGCUAACUACGUG